UUUUUUUGUUGGUGUUUUUGUAUUGGUGGGUUGUUUUCUUUUUCCCUUCUUCCCAAAAGGUACAGUGAAACCUUUUUUUCUGACAAUGUCAAGUUUUUCAGAGGAUGAAGUGUCAAUAUUUUGCCAGUUAAUUUUCUCAUGCUUGGGUCAUUUGUCAAGUGCACGUUCCCUAUUCCAAUCUUUCCAUGUGUCUUUUUUCCCCCUCUGAGCUCAAGCAUGUUCCCAUUUUAUGCUGCCUGAGGCAGACAAGACACAUUUUUCUGGACUCCAUCAACAUUAUGCAGCAGCUAAAGGGCUCAUAAUUAAAUCAUGCAAAAUGUCUUUUUUUUACUUUAUGCAACCCUCAAGAUUCUCCUAGGUGGGAGGAGGACAACAGGCUGCAGAAUGAAUCCCAUUCUGUGUGAUGAGACAAACCUAGAAGCAAACUCAAAAAGCUAAUUAUGUGCCUUUUAAAAGCUAACCUUACAGUUUUGUAAAACCUCCAGUUCCGUUGUGCUUAUACUGCAAUUAAUUCACCUGAAUUAAAAACCAAACCAAAACCACUGGGUAUUUCAUUCUGAAUUCAAUUGCUUUCAUUAUUACCACAUUUACCCAAUUUAUCACAAGUUUUGGAAGAAUGUACUUUAUCAUGAUGCCACAGCUACAGCGCUUUAAUACAGUUAACACAGCCUAUAAAUUCAGUAAGCUGUGAAUGAAUUACAAGAGGAACUGAAGAUCGCACUUGCUUCUGCAGACCAUUUCCUGGGUGUAUAAUACUUCUGUGUUUAAUGCUGAGAUUAGAGUUUACUUUCUUAAUGCACAUGCAGAAGCAUUAGUGACUGUUAAGGACAGUCCUUGGAUUUGGACUUUAUUGCCAAGAUAAAUGAAUGGAAGUUGGUGUGACUAAGGAAGUCUCAUAGAAAGACCAGGAAACAUGGAGAUGUUUACAAUAUCUAGUUGAGGUACUUACAGUAGGUGCUCUGAACUAUUUCCUUGGCAUUUCAUUUGAUUCCUUCCUUACAAGAAAUUCUUCUUGAAGUGAUCUGACUUGGUUUUCUUGGACUCAAGAACCCUUAAGUAAGAGAAACAGAGUUAAUUGUUUCAAUAAAUACAUGAUUCUUUUACCAAAGCA
rnacentral:lncRNA from 1 species